rnacentral:rRNA from 1 species
GAUGAACGCUAGCUACAGGCUUAACACAUGCAAGUCGAAGGACCGGCGCACGGGUGAGGAACACGUAUCCAACCUUCACCUUACUCGGGGAUAGGCUUUCGAAAGAAAAAUUAAUACCCGAUGUAAACGAGGGGGGUGCGUUCCAUUAGGUUGUGGGUGUGGGAACGGCGCACCAAGCCUUCGAUGGAAAGGGGUUGUGGGAUGAAGGACACCCACAGUGGAACGGAGACCCAGUCUAAAGUGGGAGGGGAGGCAGGGGUAAGGUAGAUAAGGCAAUGAAGUUUAGCCGGGACAAGCCACGUGGCUGGAAGAAGGAAGGGUUAGGGGUAGUAAGUUGUUUGUAUAUAAGAAGAGGUAUUAUAUGAAUAAGGAUCGGCUAACUCCGUGCCAGCAGCCGCGGUAAUAC